UGCGUAGGUGGCGGGGUAAGUCGGAUGUGAAAUCUCGGGGCUCAACCCCGAAACUGCAUUCGAUACUGCUCUGCUAGAGUACUGGAGAGGAGAUCGGAAUUUACGGUGUAGCAGUGAAAUGCGUAGAUAUCGUAAGGAAGACCAGUGGCGAAGGCGGAUCUCUGGACAGUUACUGACACUGAGGCACGAAGGCCAGGGAGGCAAACG
rnacentral:rRNA from 1 species